GAAGGCUUCUAAGGAAAGGAAGUGCUUAGAUAGCUGCAGGAAGUCUAGUUUGUGGGGAGCUAUGGGUUGUAGGCUGUCUGGAGAAGAGCUGUAGUUGGUAGGAUGGUCCUGGCUCCAGUGAAGGAAUCAGUGUUGAGAGAGAGUCUAGGUAUGGUGCAGAAGAAUGUUAAAGCAGCAACAGGAACAGGUAGAAAAAAAUCCCUGAGAUGACAAGAAUGCCCACAAAGAUGAGGAAGCAGAAGGGACCGAGGGCCUCCUGAAGACAAAAAUAAAAGAGAAAAAGAUGAACAAAUCCUCUUCUGACACUUACUCUCUUAGAUCCUUGAAGGUUGCUUUGUUUCUCAAGAAUAAGAAAAAAAUUCAGUCUAAAGAAGAAAUGUUUCUUUACAUUUCUAAUAUAUGUAUAAGACAGCAGAGGGUGGUUGAUGAUUGGGCCAGCUCACACCCUUCAUCUCAAGACUAUGUAUGCCACCUCUGCUACACAGCUGGCUUCCGCAGAACAGGGACUUUGAGGUGGGUUCAGAACACUGAUCACCUACAUGGCAUUGUAAUGUACUUGCUGUGCCUUGCUGCCUAGGACAGCCAUAAAAGGUGGUUUAAAUUGGGAGCAUUGAAGAAGAAAUCCAAACUGAAUUACCACAAUGACGGGGAAUAUCAUCCCAAUUACAAUUAAGCUCAUCCAGCCAGUGGUCCCAGCAAUCACAAAGGCAGAUGAUCGGGCUGACUGGUUGAAGAUUUCCAUCAUGACAGACAUGACUGCCCCAGCUGAAGAAGCAACAUGAAAAAGUAAUAAAGACAUUUAUGUGGGGUUUUCCCGUAGGAACUUUGGUCACCUCUUUCCCCCAAAAUGAAAAAAUGCAAAUUCAUACAAUUCAUAUUUAGGAGCUUUAUUUGAUCAAGCAGAACCCCAAAGAGUGAGUAUUUGUGCCCAGCACUUGGCAUAUAUGCGGAGUUCCUGCUUCUACUGGGGGCUAGUACCAAGACAGUUUGUCAAGGCACUCAUACACCAUGGUUAUGGCUAUGAUAUGAAAACCCGAAUAAAAAUCAGUGACAUACAAUACUGAUAUAAAAUAUCUGAGGUUCCAAUAACAAAACAUUGCCAUUUGUCAGGGACCUAGAAUUAGCUUUGGUCCCAAGUGAGGACCAAAAUCCUAGUAGGGAGUUGUAAGCUGGUUCUGGCAUUGCCAUUAUAUCUGAUUCAGAUUGAAAUUAAGAAAGGAUAAAGGGAUGCUAAGAGAAGGAACUGAACAUGCCGUCAGUUAACAAUCCUGAAUGGAGCUGGGCUUUUACUUGUGAGUUGAGGAUGUUGUAGGAUUCUGCUUCACUCUCUUCUCUAUGAAGAUGUAUUUACAAAGUCUAGUUCCAUUUCCAUAUACCCACCCAUAUUAAUGUGCUCAUAUAGUAUGAUCCAGAGGUUUCCUAUCACCACCUGAGUUUAUGUACUCACAUGGUCCAAUUCCAUAGGCGAUAACGAACAAGAAUAUGAGAACAACACUGCAGUAGGCCAUCCAGGAGAACUGAUUCUAGACACAAAGCAGUGAGGAGAGAAAGGGGGAAUUAAUAUGGUGGUAGAAUAACAUGCUCAUUACUUUCUACUCUCUGGUUUAAUGAUUGCCAAGGGUCUGCUUUACAUAUGGGGAAUAAAAUCACUUAUAUCAAGGGGUGGGAUGGAGGAGAGUUUAGCAGCUGAGGGGAGUGGCAGUGGGCCAUUCUUUUUGCCGGAGACCAGGGUAGCAAAAGAGAUUCAGGAGCUUAAAAGGGCGGGUGGAUGCUUUGCAUUGGGGGAAAAAGAGAUUUCCAGCAGCUGAGAUGAUCAUUGGGCAGCUGUCACAGCCACUUGUAUGUGGAGAGGAAUGUGAGAGGUGCUGGUGAAUGAGAAAGGAGACGGCAGGAAUGCUCAUUGCAAAGAUUUUUGACAACAGCAAGGCAAGAAUCACCCACUGGAGCCUGGUGUGUGAGGGGUUAGGUAGUAAGAAGAUUGGAGAAAUACUAGAUCAGGGCACCUUGCUUGUGGGACAGUUACUCUGGGAGGUGAAAUGCAGAUAAUGCCAGUUUAGGAGGAGGCAGCACAGAGACCACAGAGUCAGUGAGGACA